AACCUGGUUGAUCCUGCCAGUAGUCAUAUGCUUGUCUCAAAGACUAAGCCAUGCAUGUCUAAGUAUAAAUGCUAUACAAUGAAACUGCGAAUGGCUCAUUAAAACAGUUAUAGUUUAUAUGGUAAUCGAAUUUACAUGGAUAACCGUGGUAAUUCUAGAGCUAAUACAUGCUGUUAAGCCCAACUUAUGGAAGGGCCGUAUUUAUUAGAUAACAGACCAAUACUCUUCGUGUCUAUUGUGGUGAAUCAUAGUAACUAAUCGGAUCGUAUGGGCUAGUCCCUCGACAAACCAUUCAAGUUUCUGCCCCAUCAGCUUUCGAUGGUAGUGUAUUGGACUACCAUGGCUUUUACGGGUAACGGAGGAUUAGGGUUCGAUUCCCGGAGAGGGAGCCUGAGAAACCGGCUACCACAUCUAAGGAAGGCAGCAGGCGCGUAAAUUACCCCAAUCCUGACUCAGGGAGGUAGUGACAAGAAAUAACGGACCGAGGCCUUCGGGCUUCGGGAUUGCCAAUGAGCCGAAU
rnacentral:rRNA from 1 species